GACGAACGCUGGCGGCGUGCUUAACACAUGCAAGUCGAACGGAAAGGCCCUGCUUUUGUGGGGUGCUCGAGUGGCGAACGGGUGAGUAACACGUGAGUAACCUGCCCUUGACUUUGGGAUAACUUCAUGAAACUGGGGCUAAUACCGGAUAUGAGCUCCUGCUGCAUGGUGGGGGUUGGAAAGUUUCGGCGGUUGGGGAUGGACUCGCGGCUUAUCAGCUUGUUGGUGGAGUAGUGGCUUACCAAGGCUUUUACGGGUAGCCGGCCUGAGAGGGUGACCGGCAACAUUGGGACUGAGAUACGGCCCAGACUACUGAGGGAGGGAGCAGUGGGGAUUAUUGCACAAUGGGAGGAAGACUGAUGCAGUCACGCCGCGUGCGGGAUUAUGGCGUUCGGUUUGUAAUCCUCUUUCGCCUGUGACGAAGAGUGAGUGGCGGUAAUGGGUAAAGAAGCACCGGCUAGCUACGUG
rnacentral:rRNA from 1 species